rnacentral:rRNA from 1 species
CAGUCGAGGGAGAAUCUAGGUGCUUGCACCUAGAGGGAACCGGCGCACGGGUGCGUAACGCGUAUGGAACCUACCUUAAACACAGGGAUAGCCCCGGGAAACUGGGAUUAAUACCGGAUGUGAUUAUGAAGCUGCCUGGCUUUAUAAUUAAAGAUUUAUCGGUUUAAGAUGGCCAUGCGUGACAUUAGCUAGAUGGUGAGGUAACGGCUCACCAUGGCGACGAUGUCUAGGGGGUCUGAGAGGAUGAUCCCCCACACUGGUACUGAGACACGGACCAGACUCCUACGGGAGGCAGCAGUAGGGAAUAUUGGUCAAUGGGCGCAAGCCUGAACCAGCCAUGCCGCGUGCAGGAAGACGGCCCUCCGGGUUGUAAACUGCUUUUAUACAGGAAGAAUAGCUCUAACGUGUUUAGGGUAUGACGGUAUUGUAUGAAUAAGGAUCGGCUAACUACGUGCCAGCAGCCGCGGUAAUACGUAGGAUCCAAGCGUUGUCCGGAAUUAUUGGGUUUAAAGGGUACGUAGGCUGACGAUUAAGUCAGUGGUGAAAUCCCACCGCUCAACGGUGGAACUGCCAUUGAUACUGGUUGUCUGGAGUACAGUAGAGGUAUGCGGAAUGUGGCAUGUAGCGGUGAAAUGCAUAGAUAUGCCAUAGAACACCGAUUGCGAAGGCAGCAUACUGGACUGUAACUGACGCUGAGGUACGAAAGCGUGGGGAGCGAACAGGAUUAGAUACCCUGGUAGUCCACGCCGUAAACGAUGCUCACUCGCUGUUGGCGAUAUACGGUCAGCGGCU